rnacentral:rRNA from 1 species
CCUACGGGAGGCAGCAGUGGGGAAUAUUGGGCAAUGGGCGCAAGCCUGACCCAGCAACGCCGCGUGAAGGAAGAAGGCUUUCGGGUUGUAAACUUCUUUUCUCAGGGACGAAGAAAGUGACGGUACCUGAGGAAUAAGCCACGGCUAACUACGUGCCAGCAGCCGCGGUAAUACGUAGGUGGCAAGCGUUAUCCGGAUUUACUGGGUGUAAAGGGCGUGUAGGCGGGAAAGCAAGUCAGAUGUGAAAACCAUGGGCUCAACCGGUGGCCUGCAUUUGAAACUGUUAUUCUUGAGUACUGGUGAGGCAGACGGAAUUCCUCGUGUAGCGGUGAAAUGCGUAGAUAUGAGGAGGAACACCAGUGGCGAAGGCGGUCUGCUGGACAGCAACUGACGCUGAGGCGCGAAAGCGUGGGGAGCAAACAGGAUUAGAUACCCGUGUAGUC